UCUACGGGAGGCAGCAGUGGGGAAUAUUGCACAAUGGAGGGAACUCUGAUGCAGCGACGCCGCGUGAGUGAAGAAGGUUUUCGGAUCGUAAAACUCUGUCCUUGGUGAAGAAAAAAAUGACGGUAGCCAAGGAGGAAGCCCCGGCUAACUACGUGCCAGCAGCCGCGGUAAUA
rnacentral:rRNA from 1 species